AUCCAGUUCAAGGUACUGCAGAUUCUAAUGUGCUAAGUGGCCUUUUGAUGUGAUUUUCUUAGCAAAGUUUGAACACCGACAUUAAAACGGUUGCAAAGUAAAGAUCUGUGGUAUCUACAUGAACUGCAAACUCAUGGCAUCUGGACUUUCAUACCUAAGGUGUUUUCCAUCUCUUCAAGUUGAAAAGACUGCAGAGCUUGAAUCCCCUGCAACAUUAUGCUUCAUAUGGAACAUCAGCCAGCAUACAGAUACAAGCUCCCUUUUCCAGCUCUAAGCAAGAGGGACCACAAUGCUAUAAACAGAU